UCGAGCGGUAGCACAGAAGUAGCUUGCUCUCGGGUGACGAGCGGCGGACGGGCUGAGUAAUGUCUGGGAAACUGCCUGAUGGAGGGGGAUAACUACUGGAAACGGUAGCUAAUACCGCAUAAUGUCGCAAGACCAAAGUGGGGGACCUUCGGGCCUCAUGCCAUCAGAUGUGCCCAGAUGGGAUUAGCUAGUAGGUGGGGUAACGGCUCACCUAGGCGACGAUCCCUAGCUGGUCUGAGAGGAUGACCAGCCACACUGGAACUGAGACACGGUCCAGACUCCUACGGGAGGCAGCAGUGGGGAAUAUUGCACAAUGGGCGCAAGCCUGAUGCAGCCAUGCCGCGUGUGUGAAGAAGGCCUUCGGGUUGUAAAGCACUUUCAGCGGGGAGGAAGGCGUUAAGGUUAAUAACCUUGGCGAUUGACGUUACCCGCAGAAGAAGCACCGGCUAACUCCGUGCCAGCAGCCGCGGUAAUACGGAGGGUGCAAGCGUUAAUCGGAAUUACUGGGCGUAAAGCGCACGCAGGCGGUCUGUCAAGUCGGAUGUGAAAUCCCCGGGCUCAACCUGGGAACUGCAUUCGAAACUGGCAGGCUAGAGUCUUGUAGAGGGGGGUAGAAUUCCAGGUGUAGCGGUGAAAUGCGUAGAGAUCUGGAGGAAUACCGGUGGCGAAGGCGGCCCCCUGGACAAAGACUGACGCUCAGGUGCGAAAGCGUGGGGAGCAAACAGGAUUAGAUACCCUGGUAGUCCACGCCGUAAACGAUGUCGAUUUGGAGGUUGUGCCCUUGAGGCGUGGCUUCCGGAGCUAACGCGUUAAAUCGACCGCCUGGGGAGUACGGCCGCAAGGUUAAAACUCAAAUGAAUUGACGGGGGCCCGCACAAGCGGUGGAGCAUGUGGUUUAAUUCGAUGCAACGCGAAGAACCUUACCUGGUCUUGACAUCCACAGAACUUUGCAGAGAUGGAUUGGUGCCUUCGGGAACUGUGAGACAGGUGCUGCAUGGCUGUCGUCAGCUCGUGUUGUGAAAUGUUGGGUUAAGUCCCGCAACGAGCGCAACCCUUAUCCUUUGUUGCCAGCGGUUAGGCCGGGAACUCAAAGGAGACUGCCAGUGAUAAACUGGAGGAAGGUGGGGAUGACGUCAAGUCAUCAUGGCCCUUACGACCAGGGCUACACACGUGCUACAAUGGCAUAUACAAAGAGAAGCGACCUCGCGAGAGCAAGCGGACCUCAUAAAGUAUGUCGUAGUCCGGAUUGGAGUCUGCAACUCGACUCCAUGAAGUCGGAAUCGCUAGUAAUCGUAGAUCAGAAUGCUACGGUGAAUACGUUCCCGGGCCUUGUACACACCGCCCGUCACACCAUGGGAGUGGGUUGCAAAAGAAGUAGGUA
rnacentral:rRNA from 1 species